ACGUAUAAUUCAGAUUCAACAACUUACUUACGAGUAGCUCGAGGUAAGAAAAAGAAAGAGAACGAAAGGAAUUUAAAGCAAAAUAUAACUGAGUGGUUCUUGUAUCGAGUUAAUUAUAGAAUAUUUAUUUCGAUUUCAUUUACUAAAUCCGAAGAGAUCGUCAAACUGAUAAAAGAAGGUAUAAACUGCAAAGAUGUAACACAAAAUUUCAUUCGUGAAGCUCGUUAGAAUUAUUUUAGAGCAGAGGCAGAUCCACUAGUGAAAGGACGGCAUUCCAUGAGCUGUAUCAUCCGGGGGAGAGGGGGCGAGGGGAUAUUGAAAAAAGCUUCCCCGAUCAGAAAUGUAGAAUAAAGGUGAAGCCUUUGAGUUGUCCGUGUGAAUAUGGUAGAAAAAGGAUCGUCGGAUGCAUAGGUGAGAAUAGCACAACCAUCAAGUCGGCGACCGAAGCUAUGUAUCAAGGUGGAGACCGAACAUAUCCUGAAUGAAGGAGGCGACGAGGAUCAUAAGCAAGGUGGCGUAGUAGAUGACCAAGGUAGACCGGGACCACAUCCUGGAGGAGACAGCUAGGCGUCCGAGUAGUCGUACAUUUGCGGGUGGUGGAAGUGCGGGAGGAAGAACUUGGCCGAGAAGUAGACGGCGAAGGGGAGGAAAGCGACGGCGGCCAGCAUGAAGGGGCACACUCUCAUCCCGAAGAUCUUCAUCGUGCUCGGCUCCACGCGUGACGUCAGCAACGAGGGAGGAAAAAGAGAGGGGGCAACCGCACGGAACUUGAGAUUCCCGAGGGGAGACUGAUUCGGGGCUAAGCGCAGGCACCCACGGCGGAGAGGGUUCCAAAUCCGAUCAGGUUCUCGAGCUCACCGUGCACCAAGUCGAAUGCUAUACUGUGGACUCCUUCCUACGAGACUAGUCCGAUGUAAUCACAGAUGAUUUUUAAAAGUCUUGGGCGCGGAGCGGGGUCCCUCGCUGGACCGGCUAAUCUCAAUCGAGAUCGGGAGAUGUUUUCGGCCGAUAAGCGCGGAAUCGACGAACGGACGGGUGCUUGGAAUUAAUUUGAUUUGAAAUGAAAAAUUGCGUUUUGUUCGGUGACAAGAGUAAAAGAAGGGCGUAACGACACCAGGGUGUCAAACAGUUAGAAAAAACCGAAAUUGGGGACUUUUAGGGGUGUUCUAUCAAGAAAAUCGGGGACUUUUCCCCCGAAAUAGUAAGAAACAGG
rnacentral:lncRNA from 1 species